rnacentral:rRNA from 1 species
UACGUAGGGGGCUAGCGUUGUCCGGAAUCAUUGGGCGUAAAGAGCGUGUAGGCGGUCCGGUAAGUCCGCUGUGAAAGUCGGGGGCUCAACCCUCGAAUGCCGGUGGAUACUGUCGGGCUAGAGUGCGGAAGAGGCGAGUGGAAUUCCUGGUGUAGCGGUGAAAUGCGCAGAUAUCAGGAGGAACACCGAUGGCGAAGGCAGCUCGCUGGGACGUGACUGACGCUGAGACGCGAAAGCGUGGGGAGCAAACAGG